rnacentral:rRNA from 1 species
UACGGAGGGUGCAAGCGUUAUCCGGAUUUACUGGGUUUAAAGGGUGCGUAGGUGGGUCUGUAAGUCAGUGGUGAAAUCUCCGAGCUUAACUCGGAAACUGCCAUUGAUACUAUAGGUCUUGAAUUAUCUGGAGGUGAGCGGAAUAUGUCAUGUAGCGGUGAAAUGCUUAGAUAUGACAUAGAACACCAAUUGCGAAGGCAGCUCACUACGGAUACAUUGACACUGAGGCACGAAAAGCGUGGGGAUCAAACAGG